UGCGUAUGGUGCAAGCGUUAUCCGGAUUUACUGGGUGUAAAGGGAGCGCAGGCGGCACGGCAAGCCUGAUGUGAAAGCCCGCGGCCCAACCGCGGGACUGCAUUGGGAACUACCGGGCUGGAGUGCCGGAGAGGUAGGCGGAAUUCCUAGUGUAGCGGUGAAAUGCGUAGAUAUUAGGAGAAACACCAGUGGCGAAGGCGGCCUACUGGACGGUGACUGACGCUGAGGCUCGAAAGCGUGGGGAGCAAACAGG
rnacentral:rRNA from 1 species